rnacentral:lncRNA from 1 species
UUUUGGGUAAUUUUGGGGUUCCCAAUUUUGGUUUUUCCCCCCCAAAGUCAAGCAGGUGUUCAAGGACCUGGAGUUCCUGGGUUUUGGGGAUUUUGGGUAAUUUUGGGGUUCCCAAUUUUGGUUUUUCCCCCCAAGUCAAGCAGGUGUUCAAGGACCUGGAGUUCCUGGGCUGGUACACGACGGGGGGACCCCCCGAGCCCGCCG